CUCCUUUACAUUGUUUCCCGAUCGAAAUGUAGGACCAGAGUCAGAUCACACCAGCUCGUUUUAAUCUUAAAUGGAUAUUGCAUGUAAUGUCAACCCUUACAGUAACCCGAAACAACGCUAAUUAAACGGGAUAUGCACCGAGGGCUCAACUGGCGGCGCAUUGGAUGUAGGAAGCGGUCGUAUUUCCCCCCUGCUGCAGAAGGUAGAGGUUACAAAUCUGUGGGAACGUCUCAGAGGAAAGAGGGGGCGGGAGGAAAGGGAAGGGGUACGGGAGAAAGGCAGGCAGCUAGGGUGUUUCCUUAACUUCAAGGAAGAGUUUAAUCAAGUUAAUAGCUUAUUGUGGGCUAUUAAAACGAUACACCACUGGGAAACCGUACGUUAUCAAAUUUUAAAAGACACAAACAACUGAAGGAGACCGCGAUGUUGGGAAUAGGAAAACUGCACCACGGUCUGGAAUAGGGUGAAGGAUGGAGGGAGAGACGGAGAAAGAGACAGCGGAGGAGAAGGAGAGUGAUGAGACACAGCCGUUUGCUGGGGAAGGGGCAGGGCGACUUCAUCAGAAUGGAGAGUCCUCCGAGGACGACCAGGACCUACCCAUCAUGCACUGGGAAGACCUGAGCCUGAGGAUCGCUGAACUGGAGAAACAGGAGGAGGCGAGGAGAGAAAGGGCAAAGAGUACGAGUGGGUCGGAACAGGGGAGUGUGUCAGGGGGCUGGGCGGAAGAGAGGCAGGGUGGGCUGUGGAGGAAAGAUGAAUGGGAGGAUGAGGAGGACUACGGAAGAUGUCGAGUCACGGUCGUCUCGUCUAGAUUCCACAACCAAAGAAAUCUACAGUUAUGCUACAUCAACAACAGUGAGAGUGAGGAUGAAGAGGGGGCUGUCAAAGAGGGUUCUAUAGGACCAGGUAGCUAUGGUUACCACCCCUCUGGCCUGAAGUUGGAAGUGAGGGCCGCACUGAGCGCGCUCAAAAACAAGCUGUUAGCUGAACAGAAAGAGGAGCACCUUGCCUGCAGUAGUGUGAUCACUAAGAGGACGCAUCUGGAACACUGUGACCUGCAGACCUGCUCAAUACAGCAGCUCAACUCCCUCAGGACCUCACUCAACCACGACAUACACGACCUGAGCUCAGAGUUGGUGGGUCACCUGUUGAUAAGGGACCAGCUGAGAACCAAACAGGACGCCAUGCUCCUGGACGUACAGGAUCUGACAUAACCCUCACCCACAUGUGCACAGGACAGGAAGUCAUUGUGCUCAACAGUGGAUAAAGUGAUGCUGUCCAAGAUAUGCCACUAUGAGACAGUCAGAAGUGUUGCAAUAAUAUCCUACUUAACAUAUGAUUCUUUGAUAAAAAGGAGAAAUAUUGAUGAUGAACACUAAUGAGCACCAUCUUGGACCGGCGUCAUAAUGCAAUCCACAUUACACAGGCAGGGUAUGGAUGCUCAGCUAUGAAAAGCCAACUGACAUUUACUCCUGAGGUACUGACCUGUUGCACCCUCUACAACCACUGUGAUUAUUAUUAUUUGACCCUGCUGGUCAUCUAUGAAUGUUUGAACAUCUUGAAGAACAAUCUGGCCUUAAUGGCCAUGUACUGUUAUAAUCUCCACCUGGCACAGCCAGAAGAGGACUGGCCACCCCUCAGAGCCUGGUUCCUCUCUAGGUUUCUUCCUAGGUUCCUGCCUUUCUAUGGAGUUUUUCCUGGCCACUGUGCUUCUACACCUGCAUUGCUUGCUGUUUGGGGUUUUAGGCUGUGUUUCUGUAUAGCACUUUGUAACAUCUACUGAUGUAAAAAGGGCUUUAUAAAUACAAUUGAUGGAUAACUUUCUCCUCAUCAUCCCCACCUGAUCUUGAACAGCAUAAUCUUCAUUAUCAUCAUUAGUGGAGAGAGUACUGUAUUAGGACCUAUUUUGAUGUACGCAUGCACUUAAUUAACAAAAAAGAUUUCAUAUCAGAAAGAGGAGUUUAAGCCAUUUGUGAUGUUUGAAACAUCUCUAAUAUCUGACUCCUAGUCUAUUGCCGGUGGUAAGAAAAAUUGUAUUUAUCUUGGGAGAACCUUCAGACGGAGAAUCUUCACAGCCAUAGUUAAAACAUUUACAUAUCUGAGGAAUACCAGCUUUUCCACAAGUUUUAUUGUGUAAACAUUGCAAUAUCCAUGACUUAUUAAUAUAAGGGAAUUGUACACUUACAGCCUGUGUAAAACAAGCUAAGGGGUUUCAUAUUCAGGCUAAAGGGAACUGUCCUGUAACAAUUUGGUAGAGAAGGUUCUUUGUUUCUAAUUUAGGAUAAUUAUCCUCUUGUAUAGUUGCUGAUGUAAGAGAAUUGUCCACUUAUAUUGCCUAUAAGCCUGUGGGUAUUGACAUUUAUGUUGACUCUUGUGAUAUACCUAGGUGGUUUGCGGCCAUAACUAUAACUACCACCAGCAUAGGAAACCACAAAGCUGCUAUUGGGUGAUUCCAUGUGAGCAAAGCCCAAAAAUAAUUUUGUAUCGCAGAUUGUUCUGGCAAUUAUCACAUAGAAACGUCAUUGGGAAGAUGGAUGUUUGAUAGGCUUUUUACAUUUGUAACACACCAUUUUUUGGAAAAUGAUUAAAGUGGGCUCUCUGCUACUUUUAGUUAUAAACAAUUUUAUGAGCAUCAUCAACACAGUGAAUAGAAAAAUGGAUUCAAAUGGAACUUUGAUAGGUCCUUCCUUAACCAAUAUCAAUUUCUAUGUAUUCUUCAAAAUUAGCAGAGCCCACCUUCGAAAUAUGUGUUUGAAGAGUAUAUUGUUCUAAACAAGAUGUCUAAAAAUAAUCAAAAUCAAAAAGGGUACUUUUGAGAUGUUCAUAAUGUUUUUAAUAUUGAAUAAAUUAAUGCGAUUUUUUUUUUUUUACAUUUUUUUUUUUAGAAUACAGCCAUACUCCAUAUUUUAAAGCAUACUAUAAGGAGUAUAAUGACACCAAGAUGUCUGUACGGUUCACGGAUUAUAUGGUCUAAAAGAGCCUAAAAUGGCCACAUUCAUCAUGAUUUUCCCCAAAAAUUGUUUGUGAUACAAAUGUAUCAAGCAUGUUAAACAUCCUUCCUCUCAAUUAAGUUUGUAUGUGAGAAUUGCCAGAGAAAUCUGAGAUACCCUAAAAAAAAAUUGGGCCAUGCUGGCGUGGAAUUGCCUUAUUCCAUUCAUUAUGUCUAGGAAAAACUCCUGGCCAUUUGAACUAUUGUGCCUUGUCAAGCAAUUAUUAUAUAUCGUACUUUCACAAUCGUGUGUAUUUGUAGGUUGAUGGAAGAAUUAACUGUGAUAGCAGAUUCAUAGCUAUGGGAAAGGGAUGAGUGCUCUGAAGUAACAUUUAACUUUUUUGGUCUCUGAAGUAUUUUUUUCAGUAUUUACUUAAAAAAUAAUUUUGCAUUCAAUAAACCUUAGUUAUUUCAUGUUGUGUGCUGUCACUGUGUGUGUGUGUCUGUGAUGCUGCUAUUUCAAAUCAAAGUUUAUUUGUCACGUGAGCAGUGAAAUGCUUACUUACAGGCUCUAACCAAUAGUGCAAAAAAUGUGUUAGGUGAACAAUAGGUAAGUAAAGAAAUAAAACAACAGU
rnacentral:lncRNA from 1 species